ensembl:lincRNA
CUGAGCACAGGCCAGGGGAGCAAGCCAGUAAACAGCAGUCCUCUGUGGUCUGUGCUUCAGCUCCUGCCUCCAGUUUCUUGCCUGAGUUUCUGCCUUGAUUUCUCUCAGUGAUGAACUGUGACCUGGGAGAUGUGAGCUAAUUAAGACCAUUUCCUCUUCAAGUUGUUUGGUCAGUGUUUUUAUCACAGCAAUAGAAAGUAACUAGCACAGGGCACUGUCUAAUCACCUCUAUAAGGCUGUCAAAGAGAAAGAGUAUUUUGGAGGUAGUGGGCCUGGGCUGGCCUUUGAGGAAAUGCCCCUGACUUAUGGCUCUGCUGAUUCUAUACAAAUUUAGUUGCCCUGUAGGAGAUAUUUUAAGCUGAUAGGAUCAUUUCCAUGUUGACUGUUCAUCCCUCAUUAAUUGGGGGAAUUUUCACAGAUGUCAGCUUGAAGAAAGAUGCAAUAACACUGGACACCAAAUCUGGAAGACAGCCCAGGGGGUGGAGACACUCACCACAAUCUCCUCCUGCCUGUCGUAGUGGUGGCUGUGGGUGGCAGCAUAGCAGAGAGCGAGAGAGGUGCUGUGAGUGACGGAUUGCCAGACCUUGCCCCAAUUGCCUCAGUCCACGUGGAGCACCUUGUCGGUGUGGUGAGCAUGUAGAGGGAAAUCCCUUGACUCUGGGGACUUGAAAGGCUGGUUCUGUCACACCCAGCAGAGCCAUAGGAUGCCAUGGACAGGAAGAUUGGCUUUCUGUCCUCUCAACCAAGUCACUUGUAGCCAGGCUCUGUGCCUUCCUGCCUUUUCCUGGGCAAUGUUUUAGAUCCAAUAGCCUAAAGUUUUCUAUGCCACAUGUCAUUCUCUUACCAACGUUAAUAAAUUUUGAAACGUGUCCUGCUGCAUGUUCUUGGUUUUCUUUUGUUUCUUUGUUUACUGAUGCCUCUGUGCACCACAAGGUUAGAUACAGAGAAGACAGGUCAUAGAGACAAAUCUUCCUUCCAGCUCAACUCACUGAAGCCCAGCUGAGGACUAUGAGAUGGUGGGUAGGGACUUAGAACAGAGGCUGAACCAUCUCAUGGGUGGUUUCGGGCUGGGGCUUAAAAGGGAAGGGGGCUGUGAGAAUUGAGGUGGUCAAGGACCAUUUGGGCUGGGGUUUUGCAAGAGAGGAGGAGGAUGGGCUGUACAGAGGUGGAGUCAGGGACUGAAGGCUUGGAGGAAAGCAUUGAGUUCUGGCUGGUGAAAGGGAACCAGGAUCUGAAGGAGGUGCUUUGAGCAGAGGUGGGAGUGGGAUGUAUGGAGAACACCUGCUCACACAGAACUCUGGGACACAGUAGGAAAAUGCCAGGUAUGGAAGUUUCUGCUACACCGACACAUAUGUGGUCUUUUGAGAUGGUGUUCAGUAUUAGUCAUGGUAAAGAUGUGUUCAGCAUGCAUGUGUGACACCACCUGUGACCGUGUGCCUCUCUGUCCUCAUUUUUCAGGUACUGUACAGAGAAACUCUCCCCUCUCCCUAAGGCCAUAAUACAAAGGGGAGAGUAGACUUGUCCAUUCCUUCUGUUGAUUUUGCCCACCCAAACUGGGGCUGAGGUGGAAACAUGGGCCAGGCCCUCAGAGGUCAGCAGGCCUUGCAGGAGGCCUUCUUGGGCUGAGACAUCCACUCUGCUAGCCAUUUCUGGCAGCGGUCUUUGUGUCUGCCUUGCUUCUGAUCUUAAUUCCUCCCAAGGACCAUCUCACAUCUCUCAGUUGCUUCCUGGGAGAUC